rnacentral:rRNA from 1 species
AUUGAACGCUGGCGGCAUGCCUUACACAUGCAAGUCGAACGGUAACAGGUCUUCGGGUGCUGACGAGUGGCGAACGGGUGAGUAAUACAUCGGAACGUGCCUAGUAGUGGGGGAUAACUACUCGAAAGAGUGGCUAAUACCGCAUGAGAUCUACGGAUGAAAGCAGGGGAUCGCAAGACCUUGUGCUACUAGAGCGGCCGAUGGCAGAUUAGGUAGUUGGUGGGAUAAAAGCUUACCAAGCCGACGAUCUGUAGCUGGUCUGAGAGGACGAUCAGCCAAACUGGGACUGAGACACGGCCCAGACUCCUACGGGAGGCAGCAGUGGGGAAUUUUGGACAAUGGGCGCAAGCCUGAUCCAGCAAUGCCGCGUGCAGGAUGAAGGCCUUCGGGUUGUAAACUGCUUUUGUACGGAACGAAAAGCCCUGGGUUAAUACCCUGGGGUCAUGACGGUACCGUAAGAAUAAGCACCGGCUAACUACGUGCCAGCAGCCGCAGUAAUAC